rnacentral:rRNA from 1 species
GACGAACGCUGGCGGCGUGCUUAACACAUGCAAGUCGAACGGAAAGGCCCUGCUUUUGUGGGGUGCUCGAGUGGCGAACGGGUGAGUAACACGUGAGUAACCUGCCCUUGACUUUGGGAUAACUUCAGGAAACUGGGGCUAAUACCGGAUAGGAGCUCCUGCUGCAUGGUGGGGGUUGGAAAGUUUCGGCGGUUGGGGAUGGACUCGCGGCUUAUCAGCUUGUUGGUGGGGUAGUGGCUUACCAAGGCUUUGACGGGUAGCAGGCCUGAGAGGGUGACCGGCCACAUUGGGACUGAGCUACGGCCCAGCCUCCUACGGGAGGCAGCAGUGGGGAAUAUUGCACAAUGGGCGGAAGCCUGAUGCAGCAACGCCGCGUGCGGGAUGACGGCCUUCGGGUUGUAAACCGCUUUCGCCUGUGACGAAGCGUGAGUGACGGUAAUGGGUAAAGAAGCACCGGCUAACUACGUG